AGGCAAAAGGGAGCUCUGUAAGCAAACUUUUAUGAGGCGGGCCCCUGGCUAAUAGGAUAGCAGAAGCCUGUGGCCAAGCUGUUCUUGUGAGAUAAGGGGUCAGCAGACUUCAGAGAAAUGCAGACCGCCCAGUUUGCGUCUCCAUAUCUUAGAAUACUCCAUCUGAGGGUAGCCUAACAACAACCUCCUGUAACUCCAGCAGCAAGCAAAUGCAGUAAGAAGUCACGUAGGUAGAAACAAAUAGUUCACUAAUUUUGAAGUUGUUGAAAAUGAUCCCUUAAAGGGCGCGUGGAGAUCAGAGAGAAAAAUAAUGAAGAAGCAUGGUAAAUACUAAAGCAUCAUUCCUUUCUCUCACUCUCCGUCUCUCUGUCUCUCUCUGUCUGUGUCUCUGACUGCCUCUCUCUCUGUCUCUCUCUGUCUACCUGUCUCUCUCCCUAACCCCCCCACCCCGUGUGUGUGUGUGUGUGUGUGUGUGUGUUCCUU
rnacentral:lncRNA from 1 species